GGGGGUGUUAGGAAUCGAUGGCAUGAUCAUUUUAUAACAACGCAGGCCGAGCCAGGCCGCUUUAAUCUCGUAAAACUAGUCAGCGGCAAACAUAAGUGUCAAAAACUUAUUCAGCAAAGCGAGGCUGGCUUUUGCCAAUUUAGCUUUUGCUCCUGCUAUUGCCUAAUUUAGGCAGUAGCCAUCCGACCAGUAAUGCCUACUAGCUGUACUCGGGUGUUAUUUAGUAGGUUAGAUUUGUCCCGCUUGUAUUCCGGGAUAAAUCGAAACAAAAGAAUGCUAGCUUAGGCAAAUUUUGUUUUUGUUUUUAUUGCUUAAGUGAAAAUUUAACAAAAACUAAGCCUGUACACGCGGUAUGACUUGCUUGCCAGACAGGGGUUCAAUUCCCCUCAUCUCCACCA
rfam:Candidatus Falkowbacteria bacterium RIFCSPLOWO2_12_FTLL_45_10 rifcsplowo2_12_scaffold_30793, whole genome shotgun sequence.